rnacentral:rRNA from 1 species
UCCGAAUGGGGGAACCCAGCAUGUGCAGACAUGCUAUCCUUAAGUGAAUACAUAGCUUAAGGAGGGAACACGCAGUGAACUGAAACAUCUAAGUAGCUGCAGGAAGAGAAAGAAAUAUCGAUUUCCCAAGUAGCGGCGAGCGAACAGGAAAGAGCCCAAACCGGCAGAUUUAUCUGCCGGGGUUGUAGGACUGAGACAUGGCACUUCAGAGGAUAGCAGAAGCGUUUGGGAAAGCGCGCCAGA